rnacentral:rRNA from 1 species
UACGUAGGGGGGCAAGCGUUUGUCCGGAUUUAUUGGGCGUAAAGAGCGUGUAGGCGGUUUGGUAGGUCCGCUGUGAAAACUCGAGGCUCAACCUCGAGACGCCGGUGGAAACCAUCAGACUAGAGUCCGGAAGAGGAGAGUGGAAUUCCUGGUGUAGCGGUGAAAUGCGCAGAUAUCAGGAAGAACACCCGUGGCUAAGGCGGCUCUCUAGUACGGUACUGACGCUGAGACGCGAAAGCGUGGGGAGCGAACAGG